rnacentral:tRNA from 2 species
GUGGUUGUAGCUCAGUGCUAGAGCACUUGUCUAGCAAGUAUGAGGCACUAGGUUCAAUUCUUAGCACUAUA